AACGUACGCUGGCGGCACGCCUAACACAUGCAAGUCGAACGCAGUAGCAAUACUGAGUGGCAGACGGGUGAGUAACAUGUGGGGAUCUGCCUUGUGGUUCAGGACAACAUUGGGAAACCGAUGCUAAUACUGGAUAAGCCCUUACGGGGAAAGUUUUAAUGCCAUAAGAUGAGCCCGCAUUUGAUUGGUUAGUUGGUGAGGUAAUGGCUCACCAAGACAAUGAUCAAUAGCUGAUCUGAGAGGAUGAUCAGCCACACUGGGACUGAGACACGGCCCAGACUCCUACGGGAGGCAGCAGUGGGGAAUCUUGCACAAUGGAGGAAACUCUGAUGCAGCGAUGCCGCGUGAGUGAAGAAGGCCUUUGGGUUGUAAAGCUCUUUUGUAGGGGAAGAUAAUGACUGUACCCUAAGGAUAAGGUCCGGCUAACUUCGUGCCAGCAGCCGCGGUAAUACGAAGGGACCUAGCGUAGUUCGGAAUUACUGGGCGUAAAGCGCGCGUAGGCCGUUGAGUUAGUUAAUUGUGAAAUCCCAAAGCUUAACUUUGGAACUGCAAUUAAAACUGCUCGACUAGAGUUUGAUAGAGGAAAGCGGAAUACAUAGUGUAGAGGUGAAAUUCGUA
rnacentral:rRNA from 1 species